rnacentral:rRNA from 1 species
GUAUCAUGGCUCAGAUUGAACGCUGGCGGCAGGCCUAACACAUGCAAGUCGAACGGUAACGAGGAAACAGCUUGCUGUUUCGCUGACGAGUGGCGGACGGGUGAGUAAUGUCUGGGGAAACUGCCUGAUGGAGGGGGAUAACCUACUGGAAACGGUAGCUAAUACCGCAUAACGUCGCAAGACCAAAGAGGGGGACCUUCGGGCCUCUUGCCAUCGGAUGUGCCCAGAUGGGAUUAGCUAGGUAGUGGGG